GUGCUCGCUUCGGCAGCACAUAUACUAAAAUUGGAACGAUAUAGAGAAGAUUAGCAUGGCCCCUGUGCAAGGAUGACACACAAAUUCGUGAAGCAUUUCAUAUUUAA
rnacentral:snRNA from 1 species